CCGAUGGCGACCGGCGCACGGGUGAGUAACACGUAUCCAACCUGCCGUCUACUCUUGGACAGCGUUCUGAAAGGAAGAUUAAUACAAGAUGGCAUCAUGAGUCCGCAUGUUCACAUGAUUAAAGGUAUUCCGGUAGACGAUGGGGAUGCGUUCCAUUAGAUAGUAGGCGGGGUAACGGCCCACCUAGUCUUCGAUGGAUAGGGGUUCUGAGAGGAAGGUCCCCCACAUUGGAACUGAGACACGGUCCAAACUCCUACGGGAGGCAGCAGUGAGGAAUAUUGGUCAAUGGGCGCAGGCCCGAACCAGCCAAGUAGCGUGAAGGAUGACUGCCCUAUGGGUUGUAAACUUCUUUUAUAAAGGAAUAAAGUCGGGUAUGGAUACCCGUUUGCAUGUACUUUAUGAAUAAGGAUCGGCUAACUCCGUGCCAGCAGCCGCGGUAAUACGGAGGAUCCGAGCGUUAUCCGGAUUUAUUGGGUUUAAAGGGAGCGUAGAUGGAUGUUUAAGUCAGUUGUGAAAGUUUGCGGCUCAACCGUAAAAUUGCAGUUGAUACUGGAUAUCUUGAGUGCAGUUGAGGCAGGCGGAAUUCGUGGUGUAGCGGUGAAAUGCUUAGAUAUCACGAAGAACUCCGAUUGCGAAGGCAGCCUGCUAAGCUGCAACUGACAUUGAGGCUCGAAAGUGUGGGUAUCAAACAGGAUUAGAUACCCUGGUAGUCCACACGGUAAACGAUGAAUACUCGCUGUUUGCGAUAUACUGCAAGCGGCCAAGCGAAAGCGUUAAGUAUCCACCCUGG
rnacentral:rRNA from 1 species